GACGAACGCUGGCGGCGUGCUUAACACAUGCAAGUCGAACGGAAAGGCCCUGCUUUUGUGGGGUGCUCGAGUGGCGAACGGGUGAGUAACACGUGAGUAACCUGCCCUUGACUUUGGGAUAACCUCAGGCCACUUGGGCUCAUACCGGAUAGGAGCUCUUGCUGAAUGGUGGGGGUUGGAAAGUUUCGGCGGUUGGGGUAGGACUCGCGGCGCAUCAGCUUGUUGGUGGGGUGGUGUCUUAGCAAGGCUGUGCCCGGUAGCCGGCCUGCGAGGGUAACAUGACACGUUGGGAUUGGAAUACGACACAGCCUCCUACGGGAGGCAGCGGUGGGGAAGAGUGCACUAGGGGCGGAAGCCUGAUGCAGCAACGCCGCGUGCGGGAUGACGGCCUUCGGGUUGUAAACCGCUUUCGCCUGUGACGAAGCGUGAGUGACGGUAAUGGGUAAAGAAGCACCGGCUAACUACGUG
rnacentral:rRNA from 1 species